rnacentral:rRNA from 1 species
UUGAACGCUGGCGGAAUGCUUUACACAUGCAAGUCGAGCGGCAGCGCGGGGGCAACCCUGGCGGCGAGCGGCGAACGGGUGAGUAGCACAUCGGAACGUACCCUAUCGUGGGGGAUAACUAAUCGAAAGGUUAGCUAAUACCGCAUACGACCUGAGGGUGAAAGCGGGGGAUCGCAAGACCUCGCGCGAAAGGAGCGGCCGAUGUCGGAUUAGCUAGUUGGUGAGGUAAAGGCUCACCAAGGCGACGAUCCGUAGCGGGUCUGAGAGGACGGCCCGCCACACUGGAACUGAGACACGGUCCAGACUCCUACGGGAGGCAGCAGUGGGGAAUUUUGGACAAUGGGGGAAACCCUGAUCCAGCCAUUCCGCGUGAGUGAAGAAGGCCUUCGGGUUGUAAAGCUCUUUCGGCAGGAACGAAACGGUUGUCCCUAAUACGGAUGGCUACUGACGGUACCUGAAGAAGAAGCACCGGCUAACUACGU